UACGGGAAGGCAGCAGUGGGGAAUAUUGCACAAUGGGCGCAAGCCUGAUGCAGCCAUGCCGCGUGUAUGAAGAAGGCCUUCGGGUUGUAAAGUACUUUCAGUCGUGAGGAAGGUGUUAAGGUUAAUAACCUUAGCAAUUGACGUUAGCGACAGAAGAAGCACCGGCUAACUCCGUGCCAGCAGCCGCGGUAAUACGGAGGGUGCGAGCGUUAAUCGGAAUUACUGGGCGUAAAGGGCACGCAGGCGGUUAAUUAAGUUGGAUGUGAAAUCCCCGGGCUUAACCUGGGAAUGGCAUUCAAGACUGGUUAGCUAGAGUCUUGUAGAGGGGGUAGAAUUCCAUGUGUAGCGGUGAAAUGCGUAGAGAUGUGGAGGAAUACCGGUGGCGAAGGCGGCCCCUGGACAAAGGCUGACGCUCAUGUGCGAAAGCGUGGGGAGCAAAC
rnacentral:rRNA from 1 species